UACGAAGGGGGGCUAGCGUUGCUCGGAAUCACUGGGCGUAAAGGGUGCGUAGGCGGGUCUUUUAAGUCAGGGGUGAAAUCCUGGAGCUCAACUCCAGAACUGCCUUUGAUACUGGGAGUCUCGAGUCCGGGAGAGGUGAGUGGAACUGCGAGUGUAGAGGUGAAAUUCGUAGAUAUUCGCAAGAACACCAGUGGCGAAGGCGGCUCACUGGCCCGGUACUGACGCUGAGGUGCGAAAGCGUGGGGAGCAAACAGG
rnacentral:rRNA from 1 species